CAGCCGUAAACUAUGCGCGUUAGGUGUAUCGGUGACCACGAGUUACCGAGGUGCCGAAGGGAAACCGUGAAACGUGCCGCCCGGGAAGUACGGUCGCAAGGCUGAAACUUAAAGGAAUUGGCGGGGGAGCACCACAACAGGUGGAGCCUGCGGUUUAAUUGGACUCAACGCCGGGAAGCUCACCGGAUAAGACAGCUGAAUGAUUGUCAAUCUGAAGGUUUUACAUGACUAGCUGAGAGGAGGUGCAUGGCGUAGACGUCU
rnacentral:rRNA from 1 species